UACGAAGGGGGCUAGCGUUGCUCGGAAUCACUGGGCGUAAAGGGCGCGUAGGCGGAUCUUUAAGUCGGGGUGAAAGCCUGUGGCUCAACCACAGAAUUGCCUUCGAUACUGGGGAUCUCGAGACCGGAAGAGGUGAGUGGAACUGCGAGUGUAGAGGUGAAAUUCGUAGAUAUUCGCAAGAACACCAGUGGCGAAGGCGGCUCACUGGUCCGGUUCUGACGCUGAGGCGCGAAAGCGUGGGGAGCAAACAGG
rnacentral:rRNA from 1 species